CCUCAUGUGAGAUGACCUGCACACAACCAUCUACCUUUGCUUUGUUCAUGAAGGCUUCCCAUUGCUUGAAGCCAACCAGAAGACAGAGGACAAGGCUUCUUGUUGGUUUGAUCCAUGAACCUGGACACAGAACAAGGGGAGGACAGAUGGAGAACAUCCCUGGAGGCCAUCUUGAAGGUCUCCAGCAUCAUUUCGUGUGGAGCCCUAAGGAGUUAAAAGAAAACUUAAAGAAUGGGCUUAUCUGGGGUUGAGAGAAGCAAAUGUUCUGAGAAAUGGGGUCAACUGCAAAAGGCCCGCUAGCUUCUAGUGCUCAGCUCACAGCCCGCCUGCACCCAAGCAUUCUGUUGCAAGUGCUCAGCUCACAGCCCACCUGCACCCAAGCAUCUUAUCUACAAGCUUUCAGCUCACAGCCCAUCUGCACACAAGCAUCUUGUUUGCAAGCACUCAGCUCACUGCCCACCUGCACCCAACCAUCCUGUCUGCAAGCACUCAGCUGAAGGAGCACCACCUUAUAAAACUUUCCCUCCAGCCCCUGACUCUUUUCAGACAGCAGACAACCUUCCUUCUGCUGUCUUACCCAUUGCAUCCUUGCAAUGCAUGUCCUCCUUUCUUUAAUACAUCUGCCUUUUAAAACUCACUCUUGUCUUGGUAAAUUCCUUUACCCCUUGCAUGCAGGCCUCAAACAGUUGUUGACCAUGACAUCUCUCACUAAGACAGAGUUGCCAGGGUGGCACCAGGCCUCCCCUCCCAGUACAAUGCCGGGCAGAAAG
rnacentral:lncRNA from 1 species